AUGCCGAUUGGGCAGCCGAACUGCAACACCACCUGCGGGCUGCGGCAAGGUGACUGUGCCCUACCCGUUCGGCAUGGGACCGGACAGGUGCUAUUGGCCAGGAUUCAAGCUCACCUGCCACCAUGGAAGCAAGCCCCCAAGGCUGCUCCUCGGCGACGGCGGUGCUGGUACGUUUGAGGUGGUGAACAUCUUCCUCCAGAACAACUCGAUGCGCGUCAUCAGCCACGGAGUUCAUCCCAUAAACAUGAACGGCUCUGGCGACGGGCGCGGCCGGUGGAGCUGGAGCCUCGGUCCCGGUGGUGGGGUGCCAUACCCAUACGUGCUAAGCUACAGAAACGAGCUCAUCCUCAUGGGGUGCAAUGUGCAGGCCACGCUGCUAAGCAAUGGGAGCAGUAGCGGUAUCGUGAGUGGCUGCGCCUCCUUCUGCACCGUCACCACAGAGGAGGAGAUCCUCGGGUAUAGCGAGGACGGCGGCGUGCCCUGCACCAAUAUCGGUUGCUCCAGUCGCCAAUCCUCGCGGGUUACACCUCGUACAAGGUGGAGCUGAAACGGCUCGACGACGGCCUGCCAAAGGGCAAGCUUGCCCGCAAUGUGCCUGUGAAGGUGCUCAUCGCCGAGACGGGUUGGUUGAGCCAGGACCGGGCCAAUGAUCUGUUCGACGCAUGGGAUUCCCAACGGUGGAAGGCCAUGCUCCAGGUCCCGGCUAUCCUCCGGUGGGCGGUGCCGCACGGCACAGCACCGACUGUAUAUGAGAAUGAAAGACCAUGCCCCACCGACGCAGCCCGGAUCAUCUGCAAGAGCGCCGACAGCGAGUGCAGUGACCGGGGAGAUUCUACGCUUAAAGGCUACUCAUGUAGCUGCAAGCAGGACUACGAUGGCAACCCUUACCUCACCGGCGGAUGCCAAGAUAUCAAGAGUGCGAUCGGAAAGAAGAAUAUGGGUGUUUCGGCGACUGUGAGGAACUUCUCGGGACAUUUCAGUGUCGGUGCCCCAGCGGGUUCCAUGGAAACUACAGCAUACUCGGCGGUUGCAUCAAGUCCGUGAACACAGGUUUAAUCAUUGGUCUCUCGGUUGCUAGUGGCCCGUGCAUUAUACUUUUUAUUCUUGGCACAAUCCUGAUAAUCCGUAAUCUUGAGCAACACAAGGCAAAGAGAUUGAGACAGAAGUUCUUUAGUCAAAACUAUGGACAAUUGUUGAGGCAGUUGGUAUCUCAUAGGUCCGACAUCGCAGAGAAGAUGAUAAUUCCUUUAGAGGAGCUACAGAAGGCCACCAACAAUUUUGAUGAGGCUCGUACGCUCGGUGGAGGAGGGCUUGGCACCGUCUACAAAGGGAUUUUGUCAGACUUGCAUGUUGUGGCCAUCAAGAAGUCAAAUAUCGUGGUCAAGAGAGAAAUUGAUGAGUUCAUUAAUGAGGUUGCCAUACUCUCUCAAAUCAAUCAUAGGAAUAUUGUAAAGCUACAUGGAUGUUGCCUGGAGACAGAAGUCCCUUUACUAGCCUAUGAGUUUAUCUCCAAUGGAACCCUUAGUGACCAUCUUCACACAGGAGAAGCAAGAUCACUAUCUUGGGAAGAUAGGUUACGGAUUACAAGCGAAAUAGGCAAAGCUCUUGCUUACCUUCAUUCUGCUAUUACUGUCCCUGUAAUACAUAGAGAUAUCAAGCCUUCCAACAUACUUCUUGACGAUGCCUUAAUAGCAAAAGUGUCAGAUUUCGGAGCUUCAAGGUACAUUCCCAUGGGUAAAACAGGGUUAACAACAAUAACUGCAGUGCAAGGAACUAUCGGUUACUUAGACCCUAUGUACUAUUACACAGGACGACUAACGGAAAGCAGUGAUGUGUAUAGCUUUGGAGUCCUUGUUGAAUUGCUUACUAGGAAGAAUCCGUCUUCCUACAGAUCCUCUAAAGGUGAUGGGCUUGUCAUGCAGUUUGUUGAACUACUUGCACAAGGAAAUCUCAGCGAGAUACUAGAUCCACAAGUUGUACAGGAGGGAGGUAGCCAGGUCGAAGAAGUAGCUACUCUUGCUGUGGUGUGCAUGAAACUGAGAGCGGAGGAAAGGCCAACCAUGAGGCAAGUGGAUAUGGCACUAGAAGGUCUCCAAGCACCCAAGGAGCAUUUCAAGGGUGAUUCAUCAACAAAAGAAGAUGAUGAGAAAUAUGUUCCAGUGAAACAUGCAUCAACUAGCGGAACAACAAACCAAAAGGAAGCUAGCAGGUGUCACAACCUAGAAGAAGAGUUUGUAUUAUCUGCAAGAUACCCUCGGUAG
rnacentral:rRNA from 1 species